ensembl:misc_RNA Metazoa_SRP Metazoan signal recognition particle RNA
ACUGGGCAUGGUGGCACGUGCCUGUAGUCCCAGCUACUCUGGAGGCUGAGGUGGGAGGAUCGCUUGAGCCCAGGAGUUGUGGGCUGUAGUGUGCUCUGCCAAUCGGGUGUCUACACUAAGUUUGGCAUCAAUAUGGUGACCUCUCGGGAGUGGGGGACCACAAAGUUGCAUAAGGAGGGGUGUAUGGUCCAGGGUGGAAAGAAAGCACAUCAAAACUCCUCUGCUGAUUAGUGGGAUCGCACCUGUGAACAGCCACUGCGUUCCAGCUUGGGCAACACAGCGAGACCCCAUCUCUU